rnacentral:rRNA from 1 species
GACGAACGCUGGCGGCGCGCCUAACACAUGCAAGUCGAGCGAUGAAAUCUUAACCGCUCUCUUCGGAGUGAAGAUAAACUGGAUUAGCGGCGGACGGGUGAGUAACACGUGAGAAACCUGCCUUUCACAAGGGGAUAGCCUCGGGAAACCGGGAUUAAUACCCUAUGACACAUUUCCUUCGCAUGGAAGAAAUGUUAAAACUCCGGUGGUGAAAGAUGGUCUCGCGCCUGAUUAGCUAGUUGGUGGGGUAACGGCCCACCAAGGCCAUGAUCAGUAACCGGCCUGAGAGGGUGAACGGUCACAUUGGAACUGAGACACGGUCCAGACUCCUACGGGAGGCAGCAGUGGGGAAUAUUGCACAAUGGAGGAAACUCUAAUGCAGCGACGCCGCGUGAGCGAUGAAGGCUUUCGAGUCGUAAAGCGCUGUCCUAUGGGAAGAUAAUGACGGUACCAUAGGAGGAAGCCCCGGCUAACUACGUG